GGGGGCGUAAAGGUUUCGACGGGGAUCUUGAGGGCGAAUAAGCGAGUAGAGGACGCGCCAUUCUCUUAAAACGGUGCAAAAUUAAAUUUUAAACGACAAUAAUAGUUUAGAAUUGGCUGCUGCCUAAUAGCAGCCCGUCCUGCCGAUGAGUACUGCGGCAUCGGUUUGGGCGUCGCUUAGCAGUGAACGUUCGUUGGCGACUCCGGUGACCGACGGAUGAAUUACCGGAUACCAAGGUUCGGAGCGUGCUUGUCCGCGCCGGCUGAGGGAAUGUAAAGGAUAUGCUACACUCGUAGAAAGUUUGCAGGAUGGGUUUUCGGACACGAGUUCGAUUCUCGUCGCCUCCACCA
rnacentral:tmRNA from 1 species